rnacentral:rRNA from 1 species
AUUGAACGCUGGCGGCAGGCCUAACACAUGCAAGUCGAACGGUAACAGGAAACAGCUUGCUGUUUCGCUGACGAGUGGCGGACGGGUGAGUAAUGUCUGGGAAACUGCCUGAUGGAGGGGGAUAACUACUGGAAACGGUAGCUAAUACCGCAUAACGUCGCAAGACCAAAGAGGGGGACCUUCGGGCCUCUUGCCAUCGGAUGUGCCCAGAUGGGAUUAGCUAGUAGGUGGGGUAACGGCUCACCUAGGCGACGAUCCCUAGCUGGUCUGAGAGGAUGACCAGCCACACUGGAACUGAGACACGGUCCAGACUCCUACGGGAGGCAGCAGUGGGGAAUAUUGCACAAUGGGCGCAAGCCUGAUGCAGCCAUGCCGCGUGUAUGAAGAAGGCCUUCGGGUUGUAAAGUACUUUCAGCGGGGAGGAAGGGAGUAAAGUUAAUACCUUUACUCAUUGACGUUACCCGCAGAAGAAGCACCGGAUAACUCCGU